GCAGCUAACGCAUUAAGUUGACCGCUUGGGGAGUACGCCCGCAAGGUUAAAACUUCAAAUGAAAUUGACGGGGGGCCCCGCACAAGCGGUGGAGCAUGUGGUUUAAUUCGGAAGCAANGGGAAGAACCUUACCAGGCCUUGACAUCCCAAUGAAUUUCUAGAGAUAGAUUGGGCCUUCGGGAACAUUGAGACAGGUGCUGCAUGGCUGUCGUCAGUUCGUGUCGUGAGAUGUUGGGUUAAGUCCCGUAACGAGCGCAACCCUUGUCCUUAGUUACCAGCACGUAAUGGUGGGCACUCUAAGGAGACUGCCGGUGACAAACCGGAGGAAGGUGGGGAUGACGUCAAGUCAUCAUGGCCCUUACGGCCUGGGCUACACACGUGCUACAAUGGUCGGUACAGAGGGUUGCCAAGCCGCGAGGUGGAGCUAAUCCCAGAAAACCGAUCGUAGUCCGGAUCGCAGUCUGCAACUCGACUGCGUGAAGUCGGAAUCGCUAGUAAUCGCGAAUCAGAAUGUCGCGGUGAAUACGUUCCCGG
rnacentral:rRNA from 1 species